AGCAGCCGCGGUAAUUCCAGCUCCAAUAGCGUAUAUUAAAGUUGUUGCAGUUAAAAAGCUCGUAGUUGAAUUUCGGGAUCAGUAUGUUGGUCGUGCUUCGGUACGUACUGUCAUUACUGGUUUCUACCUUCUGAAGAACCUUGAUGUCAUUAAUUUGGUGUCUUGGGGAAUCAGGACUGUUACUUUGAAAAAAUUAGAGUGUUUAAAGCAAGCAUACGCUUGAAUACAUUAGCAUGGAAUAAUGAAAUAGGACGUUUGAUUCUAUUUUGUUGGUUUCUAGGAUCGACGUAAUGAUUAAUAGGGAUAGUUGGGGGCAUUAGUAUUCAAUUGUCAGAGGUGAAAUUCUUGGAUUUAUUGAAGACUAACUACUGCGAAAGCAUUUGCCAAGGAUGUUUUCAUU
rnacentral:rRNA from 1 species